UACGAAGGGUGCAAGCGUUAAUCGGAAUUACUGGGCGUAAAGCGUGCGCAGGCGGUUUUGUAAGCCAGAUGUGAAAUCCCCGGGCUUAACCUGGGAAUGGCAUUUGGGACUGCAAGGCUUGAGUGCGGCAGAGGAGACUGGAAUUCCUGGUGUAGCAGUGAAAUGCGUAGAUAUCAGGAGGAAUACCGAUGGCGAAGGCAGGUCUCUGGGCUGACACUGACGCUCAUGCACGAAAGCGUGGGGAGCAAACAGG
rnacentral:rRNA from 1 species